rnacentral:rRNA from 1 species
AUUAGAUAGUUGGUGGUGUAACGGACCACCAAGGCAAAGACGGGUAGCUGGUCUGAGAGGAUGGUCAGCCACACUGGAACUGAGACACGGUCCAGACUCCUACGGGAGGCGGCAGUGGGGAAUCUUGCGCAAUGGGCGAAAGCCUGACGCAGCGACGCCGCGUGAGCGAUGAAGGCCCUCGGGUUGUAAAGCUCUGUGGAGAGGGACGAAUAAGCGUGAGCCAAUACCUCACGUGAUGACGGUACCUCUUUUAGCAAGCACCGGCUAACUCUGUGCCAGCAGCCGCGGUAAGACAGAGGGUGCAAACGUUGUUCGGAAUCACUGGGCGUAAAGCGCGUGUAGGCGGCAGGGCAAGUCGGAUGUGAAAGCCCACGGCUCAACCGUGGAAGUGCAUCCGAAACUGCUCAGCUAGAGUCCCGGAGAGGGAGGUGGAAUGCUUGGUGUAGAGGUGAAAUUCGUAGAUAUCAAGCAGAACACCUGUGGCGAAGGCGGCCUCCUGGACGGUGACUGACGCUGAGACGCGAAAGCGUGGGGAGCAAACAGGAUUAGAUACCCUGGUAGUCCACGCCGU